rnacentral:rRNA from 1 species
ACAAAGGGUUGCUACACAGCGAUGUGAUGCUAAUCUCAAAAAGCCGAUCGUAGUCCGGAUUGGAGUCUGCAACUCGACUCCAUGAAGUCGGAAUCGCUAGUAAUCGCGGAUCAGAAUGCCGCGGUGAAUACGUUCCCGGGCUUUGUACACACCGCCCGUCACACCAUGGGAGUUUGUUGCACCAGAAGUAGGUAGUCUAACCCUCGGGAGGACGCUUACCACGGUGUGGCCGAUGACUGGGGUGAAGUCGUAACAAGGUAGCCGUAA